GAUCAUUUUCAUAAAUGGUUUAUCCAUAGCAACUUUCCUUCUCUUGGGCAUGGAGAAGGAGGGAAAGAGUUUGUGAAGCCUUCAGAGAACUCUGGAAACUUCACAGUGCUACUAACAUCAUGUCUCUAAGGUCUUUGUCUGCCUCUAAUAUAUCACUCAUGGUGACAUUUCAUGGCAGGUGCUUUAUUCUGUGUAACUGUAUGUUGCAAAAAUCUCACAUCAGUGGUGCUUUCCUAUGAUAUCAUAAGAUGUCAUUUCCUAUGAUGUCAUUUCCUAUGACAUUUCUCCUAUGACAUCACAACAAUGUGUCAAGUAUGGCAUUUGGAGCAUGCCUAAGACUCAC
ensembl:lncRNA